GUAGGUGGCAAGCGUUGUCCGGAAUUAUUGGGGCGUAAAGCGCGCGCAGGCGGUUCUUUAAGUCUGAUGUGAAAGCCCACGGGCUCAACCGUGAGGGCAUUGGAAACUGGAGAACUUGAGUACAGAAGAGGAAAGCGGAAUUCCACGUGUAGCGGUGAAAUGCGUAGAGAUGUGGAGGAACACCAGUGGCGAAGGCGGCUUUCUGGUCUGUAACUGACGCUGAGGCGCGAAAGCGUGGGGAGCAAACAGGAUUAGAUACCCUGGUAGUCCACGCCGUAAACGAUGAGUGCUAAGUGUUAGGGGGUUUCCGCCCCUUAGUGCUGCAGCUAAUGCAUUAAGCACUCCGCCUGGGGAGUACGGCCGCAAAGGCUG
rnacentral:rRNA from 1 species